AUUGAACGCUGGCGGCAGGCCUAACACAUGCAAGUCGAACGAUUGGCGGACGGGUGAGUAAUGUCUGGGAAACUGCCCGAUGGUGGGGGAUAACUCCUGGAAACGGUAUCUAAUACCGCAUACCCUCAGAUGUGCCCAGAUGGGAUUAGCUUGUUGGUGGGGUAACGGCGCACCAAGGCGACGAUCCCUAGCUGGUCUGAGAGGAUGACAAGCAACACUGCAACGGAGACACGGUCCAGACUCCGACGGAAGGCAGAAGUGGGGAAUAUUGCACAAUGGGCGCAAGCCUGAUGCAGACAUGCCGCGUGUAUGAAGAAGGCCUGCGGGUUGUAAAGUACUUUCAGCGGGGAGGCGUUACCCGCAGAAGAAGCACCGGCUAACUCCGUGCCAGCAGCCGCGGUAAUAC
rnacentral:rRNA from 1 species